rnacentral:rRNA from 1 species
UCAGGACGAACGCUGGCGGCGUGCUUAACACAUGCAAGUCGAACGGAAAGGCCCUGCUUUUGUGGGGUGCUCGAGUGGCGAACGGGUGAGUAACACGUGAGUAACCUGCCCUUGACUUUGGGAUAACUUCAGGAAACUGGGGCUAAUACCGGAUAGGAGCUCCUGCUGCAUGGUGGGGGUUGGAAAAGUUUCGCGGUUGGGGAUGGACUCGCGGCUUAUCAACUUGUUGGUGGGGUAAGUGGCUUACCAAGGC